AGUGGCGGACGGGUGAGUAACGCGUGAGAAUCUGCCUUGGGGUCGGGGACAACCACUGGAAACGGUGGCUAAUACCGGAUAAGCCGAUUGGUGAAAGAUUUAUUGCCCGAAGAUGAGCUCGCGUCUGAUUAGCUAGUUGGUGAGGUAAGAGCUCACCAAGGCAGCGAUCAGUAGCUGGUCUGAGAGGACGAUCAGCCACACUGGGACUGAGACACGGCCCAGACUCCUACGGGAGGCAGCUGGGGAAUUUUCCGCAAUGGGCGAAAGCCUGACGGAGCAAGACCGCGUGAGGGAGGAAGGCUCUUGGGUUGUAAACCUCUUUUCUCAGGGAAGAAGCUCUGACGGUACCUGAGGAAUCAGCCUCGGCUAACUCCGUGCCAGCAGCCGCGGUAAUACGGAGGAGGCAAGCGUUAUCCGGAAUUAUUGGGCGUAAAGCGUCCGCAGGUGGCGAUUCAAGUCUGCUGUCAAAGCACGGGGCUUAACUCCGUAAAGGCAGUGGAAACUGAAUAGCUAGAGUGCCGUAGGGGUAGAGGGAAUUCCCGGUGUAGCGGUGAAAUGCGUAGAGAUCGGGAAGAACAUCGGUGGCGAAAGCGCUCUACUGGACGGCAACUGACACUCAGGGACGAAAGCUAGGGGAGCGAAUGGGAUUAGAUACCCC
rnacentral:rRNA from 1 species